rnacentral:lncRNA from 1 species
CCCAAACCCAAACCCGCAGCACAUUUAAAAAUAAUUUGCAAAUUUAAGAAAUUAAAUUCCAACAUAGACUUUGAAUUAAAUUACAACUAAAAUUGAGGUUUCCAAGGAAAUUCAAACAUAAACUUUCAAGAAAUUACAACGUAGACUUUCAAGAAAUUAAAUUACAACUAAAAUUUAAGGUCUUCCAAGGAAAUUGAGGGAGACUAUGGGGGUAAUUAGGUAAUUAUAAAAUAUUUCGGGU